CCUAACUCUAUUACUGCUAAUUACUGCUAAUGCCCUUAAUAGAGUUAGGACCAUCCAGUUGAGGGAUACUGCAAUAUGGGCAACUUGUGACUUUGAAUCCCUUUAUCCGUCCCUCCGCUUGGAACCGCUGUGUCUUUAUUUUUGUGGGUUCCUCAUGGAGCGUCUCCCGGGGGAGGGUCUGGAUGGGACGCUGGUCCGAGACCUGGUGCAUGGGAUCUGCUAUGACUCAUGCUUUGUGUUUGGGGGAAGGGUCUUUGGGCGGGUGAGGGGAGUGCCGAUUGGUGGCCCGCUUGCGGGACCGUUGGCGGAGGUGCUCCUUGGAGCUGUGGAGGAGCGGAGGUUGGCUCAAUUCAGGC
rnacentral:lncRNA from 1 species